UCUUCAAACCGAAAGUGGAAGUGCAAUCCUCCACAGACGACAUUUUGAAAAUUAUAUUAACCACAACCUAAAAUACCAUCACUUAAGUUCCUUGAAAACAUCUCAUAUUGGAUUUUUUUUUGUUUUUUUGCCUAAAGAGAGCCACUUGGUCAAUACAUACAUAAUUCACGUCAAACUACAGACGUGACCAAAUUUACCGUUAUUUUCCAGAUGGAUGAGAAUGCAUGGAAUGUAAACAGACGCAUGGUUUGGAUGCUCUUUAAUAAAGAUCACUGAUUCUAGAGAAUGGAGGGAGGCGCUGCCUCUAAAAUGAGUCUCCAUGAGGAGAGAGAGGAUCAGACACAGACGGCAUCAUCUGCAGUGUCCAGCUGUGUGUCUUUGAAGAGUAACGACUCUAUGAGGGAACCUCCUGUAUUGAGUGAUGGACCACUGACCUCCGACAUCAAAUUUGAGAAUCAUAGUAACCAGAUAUUUGCCCACAUUGGACUGCAUGAAUAUGAUACUGAGAUCACUGACUAUAAGCAGUAAAGUUUUUUUUUUUCUUCUUCUUCUUCUUCUUUUUUUUUUUUUUUUC